rnacentral:rRNA from 1 species
UGAGGAAUAUUGGUCAAUGGACGCAAGUCUGAACCAGCCAAGUAGCGUGCAGGAUGACGGCCCUAUGGGUUGUAAACUGCUUUUAUAUGGGGAUAAAGUGGGGAACGUGUUCCCUUUUGCAGGUACCAUAUGAAUAAGGACCGGCUAAUUCCGUGCCAGCAGCCGCGGUAAUACGGAAGGUUCGGGCGUUAUCCGGAUUUAUUGGGUUUAAAGGGAGCGUAGGCCGUUUGGUAAGCGUGUUGUGAAAUGUAGGAGCUCAACUUCUAGAUUGCAGCGCGAACUGUCAGACUUGAGUGCGCACAACGUAGGCGGAAUUCAUGGUGUAGCGGUGAAAUGCUUAGAUAUCAUGAAGAACUCCGAUUGCGAAGGCGGCUUACGGGAGCGCAACUGACGCUGAAGCUCGAAGGUGCGGGUAUCGAACAGG